UUGAUCAUGGCUCAGAUUGAACGCAGGCGCCGUGCCUAACACAUGCAAGUCGAGCGGUAACGCGGGAGCAAUCCUGGCGACGAGCGGCGAACGGGUGAGUAACGCUUCGGAAUCUACCCACGGGUGGGGAAUAACCAACCGAAAGGUUGGCUAAUACCGCAUACGUCCUACGGGGGAAAGCGGGGGAUCGCAAGACCUCGCGCCGGUGGAUGAGCCGAAGUCGGAUUAGCUAGUUGGUAGGGUAACGGCCUACCAAGGCGACGAUCCGUAGCUGGUCUGAGAGGACGACCAGCCACACUGGGACUGAGACACGGCCCAGACUCCUACGGGAGGCAGCAGUGGGGAAUAUUGGACAAUGGGGGAAACCCUGAUCCAGCGACGCCGCGUGUGUGAAGAAGGCCUGCGGGUUGUAAAGCACUUUUAGUGGGGAUGAAAAGCCUAGAGCGAAUACCUCUGGGUCUUGACCUAACCCACAGAAAAAGCACCGGCUAACUCUGUGCCAGCAGCCGCGGUAAUACAGAGGGUGCGAGCGUUAAUCGAAUUACUGGGCGUAAGCGUGCGUAGACGGUCAUACAAGUCGGGUGUGAAAGCCCGGCUCACCUGGGAAUUGCAUUCAAACUGUAUGCUAGGUGCGAAAGGAAGCGAAUUCCGUGUACCGUGAAUGCUAAAUUCGAAGGA
rnacentral:rRNA from 1 species